rnacentral:rRNA from 1 species
CCUACGGGAGGCAGCAGUGGGGAAUAUUGGGCAAUGGGCGCAAGCCUGACCCAGCAACGCCGCGUGAAGGAAGAAGGCUUUCGGGUUGUAAACUUCUUUUCUCAGGGACGAAGAAAGUGACGGUACCUGAGGAAUAAGCCACGGCUAACUACGUGCCAGCAGCCGCUGUAAUACGUAGGUGGCAAGCGUUAUCCGGAUUUACUGGGUGUAAAGGGAGUGUAGGCGGGAAAGCAAGUCAGAUGUGAAAACCAUGGGCUCAACCUGUGGCCUGCAUUUGAAACUGUUUUUCUUGAGUACUGGAGAGGCAGACGGAAUUCGUAGUGUAGCGGUGAAAUGCGUAGAUAUUAGGAGGAACACCAGUGGCGAAGGCGGUCUGCUGGACAGCAACUGACGCUGAGGCGCGAAAGCGUGGGGAGCAAACAGGAUUAGAUACCCGUGUAGUC